AUUGAACGCUGGCGGCAGGCUUAACACAUGCAAGUCGAGCGGAGUGAUGGUGCUUGCACUAUCACUUAGCGGCGGACGGGUGAGUAAUGCUUAGGAAUCUGCCUAUUAGUGGGGGACAACAUCUCGAAAGGGAUGCUAAUACCGCAUACGUCCUACGGGAGAAAGCAGGGGAUCACUUGUGACCUUGCGCUAAUAGAUGAGCCUAAGUCGGAUUAGCUAGUUGGUGGGGUAAAGGCCUACCAAGGCGACGAUCUGUAGCGGGUCUGAGAGGAUGAUCCGCCACACUGGGACUGAGACACGGCCCAGACUCCUACGGGAGGCAGCAGUGGGGAAUAUUGGACAAUGGGGGGAACCCUGAUCCAGCCAUGCCGCGUGUGUGAAGAAGGCCUUAUGGUUGUAAAGCACUUUAAGCGAGGAGGAGGUUUACCUAGUUAAUACCUGGGAUAAGUGGACGUUACUCGCAGAAUAAGCGCCGGCUAACUCUGUGCCAGCAGCCGCCGCGG
rnacentral:rRNA from 1 species